GGUUCCGUAGUACAAUGGAUAGUAUGGAAGUUUCCGGAGCUUCAGAUUUAGGUUCGAUUCCUAACGGGACUA
rnacentral:tRNA from 1 species